AGCCAUCACUAAACAGUUGGACCAAGUCCCAAGACUCAGCGGGCGGUGAUGAGUCGCCCCCUAAAAAUACUCCUCAAGGAAGCAAUGGAGUAACAGGAAACGGAAACGGGCUGGAUUUGCCAAGAAGCGUUGGCUAAGACAAGCCAUCAGCGAAGAAUCGGAGACACCUGCAGGUGGCUCUCCCUUCAUAGAGCAAGCAGUCGGACCAUUAAAGAAACGAAGGCUGGCGAGAGAGUCUAUGUCAUCGGAGCAGUCAUUCACUCCGCCAACAACGCCGACUCAUGUUGGCAGCAAUUCUUUGCCUGGUUUUGAUGAAGAUUCUCGCAUGUCAGCUCAUGAGGAAAUGAACAUGGACCAGGGAGCGACCAGUUGUGACUCAGCGAUUAACGAAGACGGCGAUCUCAGUCCUGAGCUCAUCAAGAGGAAUCUAAGUCCAGAGCUGAUCCAAAGAAAUAAGAACCUGGAAGAAGUGAAACAGGAACUCUUUGAAGAUGAAGCUGAGGAAGACAAGGAGCAUCCUAUUGCAUCCAGCCCAGAACUAAUUAAAAGGGAACCCGAGCCGGAGCCAAAAUCGAAGUAGAAUCGGACAAGACGGAGAUGAAACUUAUAGACAGGGUGGAACAGGAGUUGUCCAAUCUUAUGGGCUUUACAGAUACUAAACCGUUGUUGUUCAGUCUUGAAACGAAGAAAGAAGAGCAGCCGGAAGAAGUAGAAACACCUCCGGCACAAGAGGCAACACCUGCAGCCGUCAGAAAAAAGGUACGAGUUGGUUGGAAAAACACCAAUUGUUUAAUUUAAACAAAUAUAAACAUCGUUUAUAUGAUAACAAUAAACGUUCAAUCAAACAUCGACAAUUAAAAGUCACUGAUGAAGCAGGCAGGGUAAUCCAUCGUAUUUCUUAAAUGGGUCUUGAGUGUUCCUCAUUUCCAAAUAAUAAUAUUUAAUCAAAUCAAAAAUUCAAAAUUUUAAUCGCAUUAAUAACAAAAUUGCAUUUUAUUGUAACCAUUGGGAGAAUCCAAUCCUUUUUUUGGAUGCAUGCAGUAUAGUAAAAUUACAUCCUGUGCGAUUUUUGCCCGGUUUUUCAGAGAGCAGAAAACAAUAAUAAUUGUAACAAUUACCUACUUAAUGGGUUAAGGUAAUUCCGCUUUGCACUGAAAAUUUUUUCAGGGUUCAACAUUUUUUAGAGUACAUCAACUGUAGUCAGUGAAUUAUUUUUUGAGCUCUGCUCAGUUUACAGCCAUUUUUAACAUUUUUUCAGGAAUGAAAAAUUAUUCAAGUAUUGUGGAAAUUCCUUAACAUGUUUACUCAUCUAGCCAAUUUAGGAUAUGUGGAUUGAUCGAUGUAUUUUUUUAUUUAUUUAUUUAUUAUUUCAUAAUUUGUACAAUUGAGCCUCUGGCCGAGGCUAUGGCACACGUCAUAUUCGGUACAUGGUAAAUACAAGAGUAAAAUUCUCCUAGCCUACAAGCUCAUGAAGGUUGUAGAACGCUUUUUCGAGUAGGAA
rnacentral:lncRNA from 1 species